CAGUACAGCUAGGUUUUGUAAUGUGUAUUUCACUCUAACACACAGUUAUUGGGUUUUGUGUGCUUUUUUUACAGUUCAAGAUGCUGGAAGUGAUGUGAGAACUGUGUUGCAGCCCAUCAAAACACUGUCUUCUUGGUAAGAAUGCUGAAUGCCUUGCACUGUGCCAUGAAUGCAUACUGGGAGCUCCAGAGCGUGCCAAGCCUCCUGGAGCAGUGGAAGCUGUGCUGCAGCAGGAGCAGGCAGGCUGCCUUGGAACCACUGACCAUGGGAAGUUCACAGAAGAGGCAGACAGUAACCUGCUUACUAAGCAGAGUAACUCAGCAACACUACAGCCCAUACUCAGCAGGCUCCGUGACCUGUCCUGCUCUUGGCCUAAACUAUCCAGAAGCCUGGGCCUGUGUUGCCUCAAGGGCUGCAGGCAGCUUGCAGCUGUGCUCUGCUGACCAGCUCGGGCUCAAGCCCUCCAGCACAGCGAGCACAAUGUGAUAGCUCAGUCCCAGGGCUGGGUUUUGAAUGACCCCCUGUGUCCAUGGGCAUGGCAGAGGCCACAGGCAAGGCUGGUCGGUGCUGCAGGACUACUGGUGUCCAGCUCAGCCACAGCUAUGCUGAAGCAUGAGCCCCAUUGAUCUGCACCCUGGCCCACAAAUUCACUUCCUGGCUUGGCUUCAAAUCUGCUUUAUUGCUAUGGAGCUGUCCGUGAUCACUAGGCCAUGUACGACUCUGGCCACCAUCAAUGAACCAAGCAUUGACUCACCAAUUUGUGCUUGCUUCUGGCUUCUCCUCAGGCCUGCUUCAUCACUGUGAACUUGACUGGGAUUCUCGGUUGGCCCCGUUGCACACAGAUGACAGUACUGUGCCUUGACAGAGAACCACAGAAGGAUUUGGGUAUCUACGCCAGCAUGCUGCUGAGCUAGUUGCACACAAACUUAUGGAAGUCUCCAUCAAAUGUCUAUCUGUAGUAGCAAGGGAGCAGAACUGAAUACCCAACGGAUCACUCUCAGAUGCGUGCUGCUAAAAUGCAUGUGAACAGGAGACAGUUGUAUUGAAGAUAAAAUCUGAAUGACCCAGAAUAUCAUAAAGAAAAUCCCAGUCAAGUAAGGGGACUAAUUACAGUACACAUAUCACUGAGAAGCAUACUUUUAAAAGUGUUUUGUAAAUCCUUG
rnacentral:lncRNA from 1 species